UUUAAUUUAUUUUGAAAACUGAUCUGUUAUAGUUUGUUUAUGUGCUUCAAUCUGUAACAAUAUGAGCUCUGAGGUUCAAUAUGUGAUAAAUAACGUGUGAUACUUAUAAUUGUUACAUAAAUACUAUAAUUUUUUUAUUUUUAUGUACUGUGAGAAUUGUAUCUUUUUGGUUUUUGUGUAUUAUGAGACUUGUAUCUUUAUUGUGUUUUUGUAGUCAAUGAUUUCAGGUUUAUAAAAUGAGUUUUGAACUGAUCACUUUGAGAUUUUACCAUGGUGGAGAACUUAAAAUGGGUAAGGUGAAGGGGAAAAAAGGAAAAAGAUAUGAGGUUGGACAAGUUACUGAAUUUUUGGAUGUUGAUGUAGAUAGGUUGUCUUUAUUUGAAUUUAGGAAUUAUGUAAGGUAUUUAGGGUAUAUUCCCAAACAAUGCGUACUAUAUGUUAGACUGCCCAAAUGUUCUAAAUUUAAAGAAAUUAGGUCAGACGAGGACACACUUGACAUUUCAAAGAAAUUGGGUAAUGGGCAAAUUUUGGAAGCUUUUGUGUGUCACAUGGUUGGUGAACCUGAGGUGGCCCCACUUUUAAAAUUUGUAAGUGAUGGAGAAUGACAUGUGGAGGGGACAAGUGGCGUGUCUUUUAAUAAAGACACUGAAAAUGACAUUGAAAGUGUUGACAGGGCAUCUAAAGAUAGUGAAGAUGCCCCUCCUUUUAACCAACCUAUUGCUCAUACUUCUUCUCUUCCUACUGAUCAACCUACUGCUCAUGUCUCUUCUCCUAUAGCUGCUACUCCUAGUAGUUAUACUGCUGCUCCUAGUAGUUCUAUUGCUGCUCCUACUAAUUCUACUGCUGCACCUUUUAAAUCUGUUGUAGAUUCAGAUGUAGAAUCUAUUGAUGGAGGUAUAGAAAUUGGGAGUGAUGUGGAUGAAUAUGUGGAUGAAGAGUUAAGAUGUUUUAGGGAAGAAAAGAGGAAAAAAAAGAAAGAGAUGAGAGAGACGAGUAAUUCCUGAACAUAUUAAGUUAGGAACUGGAAGAAAGGGACCAGAUAUUGGCUAUGAUGAAUCUGCAGGUGGUGAUAGAAAUUGUUUGGAGGGAAAGUUAGCUGGUGAUGAACCUUUUUACCCAUCUGAUGAAGUUGCCAGCUUUGAAACUGAUUCAGAUGAUGUAAUAGAUGAAGAAGAUGAAGUUGAACAGGUUGAACACAGAGAUAAAGCUAGAAGGAGGAAAAAAGUUAAGAGAGUUGCAUAUAAUUCAGACUGUCAGAAAGUUGUAUGGGAGUUAGGACUUGUUUUUGAAAGUGUUAAUGAAUUUAGAGUUGCUGUUACUAAAUAUGUUGUUGCUGAACAUGUUGCAAUUGAGAAAUGUGUUAAUGAACCUACAAGGAUAAGGGUUAGGUGUACAACUGGUUGUCCAUGGCUUCUUUAUGCUAGCAUUGAUUCUAGGUCUAUGAACUUUGUUGUGAAAACUUAUAAUUCAGUUCAUAAGUGUGAUCCUAUCAAUAGGAACAUACUUUGUAAUACCAAGUUCUUAGCUAGCCAUUUCAAUGAAAGGAUAAAAGAACAACCAAAUAUUAGAAUUUUUGAGUUUCAGCUGCUUAUUACGAAGGAGCUGAAUUUACAUGUUGGGAGAACAGUGUGUAGGAGAGCUAAAAAUAAGGUGAUUGCAGAACUGAUGUGUGACUAUAAUUUAGAAUUUGAGAGAAUUUUAGAUUAUAAAGAUGAGUUGUUAAGAUCAAAUCCAGGUAGUACAUGUGUAGUGAAGUUUCAUGAUGAAACAUUUGAAGAUGGUAGAAAAAUGUUUCAAGCUUUCUACAUAUGUUUUGAUGCAAUGAAGAAGUCCUUUCUAACUGGUUGUAGGAAGUGCAUUGGUUUGGAUGGAUGUUUUUUAAAAGGAGUGACAAAAGGGCAGUUAUUAGUUACUGUGUGUAAAGAUGGUAACAAUCAAAUGUUGCCACCGCCAUGGGAAGUGGUUGAGAUUGAAAACAAGACCACUUAGAGUUGGUUUAUUAGGAUUGUAAAAGGAAGAGGUUCAACUAGAAGAGGAAGGGAUAGACCAUCAAAGAAUUCUACAGAAAAGUGUGCUGACAGACCAAGAAUGCUUGGAAUGGGAUUACUUCACACACAAAAUGGAUGCACAAUUUUUAAUCCGGAAAUGUCUAGUGAAAGAUUCAAAACUGUCAAGUCUUCAGCAUUUAUGACUGAAAAUCUCGGAUAUACACCAAAAACUGGUGUAAAAUGGAAAGAAAAAAAGCCAUGACCUCCAGGCAACUACAAGAAAUGAGAGGCAGAAAACAAAUGCAAACAAGGUCCAAGGCUGCACACUUAAGUUAAGAAAGCUCCAAUAUUCAAUCUCUAUGAGAAGUUGGUGUAGAUUACAUUUAACAUUGUAUAAAGCUUGGCAUUUGUGACUGCAUUUAAGAUUGUUUUUGAUAAUUCACUGAUGUUGGCAGUUGGGACUGCAUUUAAGACUAUUUUUUGGUAGUUCACUGAUGUUGAUAGUUGUGACUGCUUUAAGAACAAUUUAUUAGUGGCAGCUUUGACUGUAUUGUGUAACUGUAAUUAGUUUAACAGUACUGAUCUUUUUGUAAAUGUAUUUGGCUGCAAGAUGUAAUUGACACUCAUUUUUGGUUAAUGAUUGUGCAGUUGUAAGUUCAUCGUUGCUGAAAUUUGUGUUUUUG